UACAGAGGAUGCAAGCGUUAUCCGGAAUGAUUGGGCGUAAAGCGUCUGUAGGUGGCUUUUUAAGUCCGCCGUCAAAUCCCAGGGCUCAACUCUGGACAGGCGGUGGAAACUACCAAGCUGGAGUACGGUAGGGGCAGAGGGAAUUCCCGGUGUAGCGGUGAAAUGUGUAGAGAUCGGGAGGAACACCGGUGGCGAAGGCGGGUCUCUGGGCAUCUCCUGACGCUGAGGCGCGAAAGCGUGGGGAGCAAACGGG
rnacentral:rRNA from 1 species